rnacentral:rRNA from 1 species
AUUGAACGCUGGCGGCAUGCCUUACACAUGCGAGUCGAACGGCAGCACGGGAGCAAUCCUGGUGGCGAGUGGCGAACGGGUGAGUAAUAUAUCGGAACGUGCCCGGUCGUGGGGGAUAACGUAGCGAAAGCUACGCUAAUACCGCAUACGAUCUACGGAUGAAAGCGGGGGAUCGCAAGACCUCGCGCGAUUGGAGCGGCCGAUAUCAGAUUAGGUAGUUGGUGAGGUAAAGGCUCACCAAGCCGACGAUCUGUAGCUGGUCUGAGAGGACGACCAGCCACACUGGGACUGAGACACGGCCCAGACUCCUACGGGAGGCAGCAGUGGGGAAUUUUGGACAAUGGGCGCAAGCCUGAUCCAGCAAUGCCGCGUGCAGGAUGAAGGCCUU